CGGUGUCACUGGUGUGCAAGGUGCUGGGCUGCGGGAAUGAGGGGGAACUGGAAACAAUUUCAAAUUAUGAGAAGCUGUCUGGCACCGCAUGGCUGGAUCGCGUGGAGUGUGGGAAGAGCAACAGCUCCUUCUGGCAGUGUCCUUCUGCUUCCUGGGAUCCGCAGUCGUGUACUGACCGCCGAGAAGAGGCCAAUAUCACCUGCAAUGAAAGGCCGCAGGUGGCUGCAUGCCCCAACUCCACCAGCUGCACAGACAGGGAGAAGAUCCGCGCUGUGGGAGGCAAGGACGGCUGCUCGGGCAGAGUGGAGAUCUGGCACCGCGGAACCUGGGGGACACUGUGUGACAAUGUCUGGGACAUGCGGGAUGCCGAGGUGGCAUGCAGGCAGCUGGGCUGUGGCCCCGCGGUCUAUGCCCUGGGCCAGGCUGCUGCUGGAGAGGGGACGGGCCCCAUGUGGCUGA
rnacentral:lncRNA from 1 species